UUGACCUCGAAUCAGGUAGGAAUACCCGCUGAACUUAAGCAUAUCAAUAAGCGGAGGAAAAGAAACCAACCGGGAUUACCUCAGUAACGGCGAGUGAAGCGGUAACAGCUCAAAUUUGAAAUCUGGCUCUUCCGGAGUCCGAGUUGUAAUUUGUAGAAGAUGCUUUGGGUUGUGGGUUCGGCCUAAGUUCCUUGGAACAGGACGUCAUAGAGGGUGAGAAUCCCGUAUGUGGCCGAGGCCCGCGCCUAUGUAAAGCUCUUUCAACGAGUCGAGUUGUUUGGGAAUGCAGCUCAAAAUGGGUGGUAAAUUUCAUCUAAAGCUAAAUAUGGGCCAGAGACCGAUAGCGCACAAGUAGAGUGAUCGAAAGAUGAAAAGCACUUUGGAAAGAGAGUUAAACAGUACGUGAAAUUGUUGAAAGGGAAGCGCUUGCAACCAGACUUGGGCGCUGCCGAUCACCUUGAGUUUUCUCGAGUGCACUCGACAGCGCACAGGCCAGCAUCGGUUCGGGUGGCUGGAUAAAGGCCGUAGGAAUGUGGCUCUCUUCGGGGAGUGUUAUAGCCUACGGUGCCAUGCAGCCCAGCCGGACCGAGGACCGCGCCUUCGGGCUAGGAUGCUGGCGUAAUGGUUGUAAGCGACCCGUCUUGAAACACGGACCAAGGAGUCUAACAUCUAUGCGAGUGUUUGGGUGGUAAACCCAUACGCGGAAUGAAAGUGAACGUAGGU
rnacentral:rRNA from 1 species